rnacentral:rRNA from 1 species
UUCCUACGGGAGGCUGCAGUGGGGAAUAUUGCACAAUGGGCGCAAGCCUGAUGCAGCGACGCCGCGUGGGGGAUGAAGGCCUUCGGGUUGUAAACUCCUUUCAACCAUGACGAAGCGUGAGUGACGGUAGUGGUAGAAGAAGCACCGGCUAACUACGUGCCAGCAGCCGCGGUAAUACGUAGGGUGCGAGCGUUGUCCGGAAUUACUGGGCGUAAAGAGCUCGUAGGUGGUUUGUCGCGUCGUCUGUGAAAUUCCGGGGCUUAACUCCGGGCGUGCAGGCGAUACGGGCAUAACUUGAGUGCUGUAGGGGAGACUGGAAUUCCUGGUGUAGCGGUGAAAUGCGCAGAUAUCAGGAGGAACACCGAUGGCGAAGGCAGGUCUCUGGGCAGUAACUGACGCUGAGGAGCGAAAGCAUGGGUAGCGAACAGGAUUAGAUACCCCGGUAGUCA